GAUGAAGAACGUAGCGAAAUGCGAUAAGUAAUGCGAAUUGCAGAAUUUCCGUGAGUCAUCGAAUCUUUGAACGCACAUUGCGCCCAUUGGCAUUCCGAUGGGCAUGCCUGUUCGAGCGUCAUUAUCCUCCCUCAAACCUCGGGUUUGGUGUUGGACCCAAGUUGUGCGAUGAACAACUGGUCUUAAAGACAAUGACGGCGUCCGUGGGACCCUCGAUGCAACGAGCUUUAAGGAGUACGCGUCGAGUUUUCAAAGGACCCUCCGGGCCGAUCUACCUCUCUUUCUCAGGUUGACCUCGGAUCAGGUAGGAAUACCCGCUGAACUUAAGCAUAUCAAUAAGCGGAGGA
rnacentral:misc_RNA from 1 species